GCUGCUGCAGCCAAGGGUGGGAUUCAAAUUUUUAACAGGUUUCCUACUCAACGGCAGACACGCGGCGUCAUGACACAUGUUUACAUAUACAUACACCACAUAUAUGCAACACACAUAAAUACACCAUAUAUAUGGCACACAUGCAUAAAUACACCAUACAUACACUACACACACAUACCACAAAACUUUU